rnacentral:rRNA from 1 species
UACGGAGGAUGCAAGUGUUAUCCGGAAUCACUGGGCGUAAAGCGUCUGUAGGUGGUUUAAUAAGUCAACUGUUAAAUCUUGAGGCUCAACCUCAAAAUCGCAGUCGAAACUAUUAGGCUAGAGUAUAGUAGGGGUAAAGGGAAUUUCCAGUGGAGCGGUGAAAUGCGUAGAGAUUGGAAAGAACACCGAUGGCGAAGGCACUUUACUGGGCUAUUACUAACACUCAGAGACGAAAGCGAGGGUAGCAAAUGGG